UUUCCCAAGAUGUCGCGCGCGGGGUUUCGUUCCGCGCCAGGAGUAGAGACCCGUGAUUGAGGUCUUCCCUGUCGAUUAGAAGAGGAACUCAACAUGCUGACUUGGUACCAUCAUCUGUAUCCUCUGUGAGAAUCUUCCUUAAGGACAUAUCUCAGGCCAAGCCAUCUUCUGAAGGCAGCAAUUCUCAAGAUUCCCCCCUCCUUGUCCAGACACAUUUUAGAGGUAUAGGCAUAUUUUGACAAAACCCUCAACCAAAGAGCUGUCUCAUACAGCCUUAGAAGAGGUGAGAUGGGCUGCCAAUUCCUCUUCCACUCUGCUUUUCAGGCAUGUGCAGCACUAUAAUAGGAAUAAUCUUGAGUGAAUUCUAAUUCAUUCAAUUUAAAAGGAGGCUCCUGUGAAUCUUAUUCCACAGAAAUUGUGCGUGCAAAAAGUGUCACACCUGUAUGUAGAAAAUUCUAAAGGAGCUACCAGAAAAAGUGACUGGAAAUGAUAAAAGAGUUCAUCGAGGUCACAGGAUACAAGAUCAAUUUACAGAAAUCAAUUGUAAUUUUAUAUACUGGCAAUGAGCUAUCUGAAAAUGAAAUUCAGAAAAUCAUUCCAUUCACAAUCACAACCAAAAGAAUAAAAUGCUUAGGAAUAAAUUUAACAAAAGAAGUAUAAGACUUGUUAACACUGGAAAUGACACAAUAUUGGUGACAGGAGUUAAAAAAAGACCUGAAUAAAUGGAGAGACAUUCUAUAUUUGUGAAUUGGAAGUUGGUCAUGGACAGGGAGGCCUGGCGUGCUGUGAUUCAUGGGGUCGC